AUGAGAAUGACAGUGGGAAGGCACUCAGAGACACUGGCUUUCAACGUCACGACCAUCUCAGACCCCCCCAUCGUUUUGGGAAUGAGCUGGCUGGCGCGCCACGACCCCUCCAUAAGUUGGCACCAGAGAUGCAUCACGUUUGGGUCGGACUUUUGUCUGGAACAUUGCAUGCAGCACCAACCAGGGGAGGGGCCUCCGAUAGCCACGGUGGCCACCAUGCACGUCAAAGGGGGUGAGGCGAUACCCAAGCCGUACUGGGACCUGCAGGAGGUCUUCAGCGAAGCGGAGUCCGACCACCUACCUCCACACAGGCCUUUUGACUGCCAGAUCAACCUGGUGCCUGGGGCAACGAUACCCCCAGCCAAGCUGUACGCCAUGUCAGACCAUGAACUGGAGGAUCUGCGCGCUUUCAUCGACAAGAACCUCAAGCGGGGGUUCAUCAGAGAAAGCAAGGCAGCAGGGGGCAGCCCGGUCUUCUGGGUGGACAAGAAAGACACGCAACAGCGCCGUCUGGUGGUGGAUUUUAGACGGCUGAAUUCAGUGACAGAGCCAGUGGCUUUCCCCAUGCCCAGAGUGGAUGAUCUCCUGACAGCGGCACGCAGGGGCAAGAUUUUCACCAAGCUAGACCUAAGAGGGGCGUACAACUUGAUCAGGAUCCGGGAGGGCGAUGAAUGGAAAACCACGAUGUUCACGCCUCUGGGCUCUUUUGAAUAUCUGGUGAUGCCCUUCGGGUUGCAAGGGGGCUCAGCCUGCUUCCAGGCCUUCAUGCACCACGUCCUGGGGUCCCUCCUCUUCAAGAACUGCUUGGUCUUUCUGGAUGACAUCCUUAUCUAUUCCAAUGACCCAGUGCAGCAUGUGAAGGAUGUCAGGGAGGUGUUGCAGCGCCUGAAGGACAACCACCUGUAUGUGAAGCUGGAGAAGUGCAAGUUUCACACCAAGGAGGUAGACUUCCUGGGCUACAAGCUGUCAGACAAGGGGCUGGCAAUGGACAAGGACAAGGUGCAGACCAUCCUGGACUGGCACAGCCCCAGGACGCGCAAAGAUGCCCAACGCCUACUAGGCUUCGCUAACUUCUACAGGAAGUUCAUCAAGAACUUCUCUCGUGUCACGGCUCCCAUCACCGACUGCCUGAGAGGCAAGCAGAAGUUCAGGUGGACACCAGAGGCACAAGCAGCGUUCGAAAGCCUCAAGAGGGUAUUCGCUUCAGACCAGCACCUGUUCCACGUGGUGCAGGAUGCGCCCCUACGCCUGGAGACAGAUGCUUCUGAUAAAGCUGUGGGAGCGAUUCUGUUGCAACUGGACGCCAACAGAGAGUGGAGACCCUGUGCCUUCUUCUCCAGGAAGCUGACCCAGCCUGAACGCAACUACACAGUGUUUGAUAGGGAACUUCUCGCGAUCCACGCUGCGUUCCAGCACUGGCGACACUUCCUGGUGGGCGCCAAGCACCCCAUCCAGGUGUGCACAGACCACAAGAACCUGGAGUUCUGGAGAACGGCCAGGGUGCUCAACCAGCGGCAGAUACGGUGGGCAGAGUUCUUCUCGAACUUCAACUUCUCCAUCCACUACAUCCCGGGGGAGCAGAACGUCAGGGCGGAUGCCCUCUCCCGCAAGCCAGAGUACAUGGAGGAGGAGUUGCCACCAGCACCCAGGCACGUUUUCCCCCCAUCUGCAUGGUCAUGCGGUGCAGCAGUGGUGAGCGAGGCAGAACUCGCAGCACUGACGGCAGCGGAUGAAUUUGCCACCCGCAUCUUCAGAGACCUGAGAGGGGGGAGGGAGCAGGCCAAAGACUUUGAGGAAAGGAGGGGUUUGCUUUUUUACAGGGGAGCCCUGUACCUCCCGACCAAACAGCUGAGAGGUAAGGUUCUCAAGCAGAUGCACGACAACCCAACGGCGGGUCAUUUCGGAAGGGACAAAACCACUCACCUAGUCAUGAGACACUUCUGGUCGCCAGGGGUGCGGGAGGAUGUUCGGGAUUAUGUCAGGGGAUGUGACACCUGCCAGCGAGCAAAGGUGGUCAGAGCGCCACCAGCAGGUUUGCUGGAGCCAUUAGCCACACCGCACAGGCCGUGGGAAGUAGUGUCCAUGGACUUCAUCACAGACCUGCCGUCGUCCAGGGGCAAGACCGCAGUGUUGGUGGUGGUGGACCUCAUGUCCAAAAUGUGCCACUUUAUACCGUGUGCCAGGGCGGUCUCGGCAGAAGAGACGGCCAAACUGUUUGUGGACCACGUAUUCCGACUGCAUGGAUUGCCUUUAAGGGUUAUUUCGGAUCGUGGCCGCCAAUUUGUUUCCAGGUUCUGGCGACGGCUCAUGAACCUCCUGCAGGUGGAGGUCAGCUUGUCGACGGCUCGGCACCCGCAGACCAAUGGACAGGCGGAGCGGGUCAACGCCAUUCUGCAGCAGUACCUGAGAUGUUACGUCAGCCAGAGGCAAACGGACUGGGUGGAUCGCCUGCCACUGGCAGAAUUUGCCUACAACAAUGCGGUGCACGUCUCCACAGGGGUGUCGCCCUUUAAGGCCAACUACGGGCGCGACCUCAGAUCUUUCCCGGAGAGGGAGGGGGAGGAGGAGGAAGAGGGCCCACAGGCCGAGGAUUGGGCAGAGGACCUGGAGACGGUGCACCAGCAGCUCAGAGAACACUUGGAGAGGGCCAAGGAAGCGUACAAGAAGGGGGCAGAUCGCCAUAGGCGGCCGGGAGAGGUCAUCAGGGUGGGGGACAAGGUUUGGUUAUCCUCGGAAGGUCUUCCCACCAGGGGUCGAUGCAGAAAGUUAGCACCCAGGAGGCUGGGCCCCUUCACGGUCACGCAACAGGUCAACCCGGUAGCCUUCAGGCUAGCACUGCCGGAGGACAUGAGAGUGCACCCAGUGUUUCAUAGAUCACUGCUGUCGCCGUACAGGGAAAGUACCAGGUUCAGGGACAGCGAUCAACCUCCAGAGGGAGGGGGGGAGGCGGGAAACGCCCGACAGCUCAAUGAGGCAACUGAGAUUUUAGACUCAAGGAGAGGGGUGAGAGGACUGGAGUACCUGAUAGCAUGGGAGGACACUCCGCCAUCCCACAAUGAGUGGAUACCGGCCACGGAAGUACCUGAGGAAUUUUUAGUGGAAGAAUUCCACGCCCUGUUCCCCCACAGGCCCAAGCCCUGGCACAUGGAAAGGGAGGGAGAGGGGGAGGAGCAGGAGGAAGGGAUAGCAGGCAGCAGCUCCCCAUGGAGAUGGGAAGCGGAAUUUGAGGACACGGAAGAAGAGGUGUGGGUUUCACCGAGGUCAACGACGUCAGAGGCAGGAGAGGACUGGCAGAACAUUUUUACUCCCACCAGCUCUGAUGCCACUGACUUCUUGGGAUUUCCGUCUUCUCAGGGGGAAGGAGAGAGAUCGCAGGAUUGGGGGGAAAUUUUCACACCCACAGGCUCGGAUGCCACUGACUUCUUGGGAUUUCACUCGUCCCCAGCAAGCAGAGAGCCACUAGGGAGGAGGAGAGAGGAGCCUGGGAGGGGGGUGGAUGUGAGGGACAAGGGAUACAGGGAAGUCCCUCCCAUCUUAAGUUCCAGCCCAUCACCAAGCGCUGGAGAGAGUAAGGAGAGCUCUGCCUCCAGCGGAGAGUCAGGAAGUGGUGUCCGAGGCUCAGGCAGGGUUGUGGAGCCCAUGCCUCAGGUGGGACAGGAAGUUGGACGCACGGGGGGGGGGAGGCCAAUCCCCCCAACUCCCGAAUUGCGACGCAAACGUAGGGGGAAGAGGUUGGGUCUGCCAAAGUUGUGGUGCUGGAAGAAAACGCGCCAAUCGCCAUUCGGGAGUUCUGACACCUCACCUUAAGGAUGCAUUUUUAUUGCUCUGAACACUGUAAAUAAUCAGCACUUAAUAAAAGCCUUAAAAGACCAUGCUGGAGUCGUUACUCUAGAGUAGCCAUACCAGGCCCUCUGACAGGCACCAAACUGAACUUUCACCUGCAAAACAAGCUGUUAAACUAGUUGAGAUUUAUUUAGGACUCAAUCACAAAUUUCAUUUGAAGUUAUGGUUAGGUAUUUUAUGAUCAUGCACACAUGAUAAUUGGAGGUCACCAAUUGUCUCAGGAGUUCUAAAUGUUUUUCUAUACCCACCCUACCAAAUAACCCCGGCUAUGUGUAUAACACUUAGCCGUUUAAGUACGUAUGUCACAGACCAGGCUGGACUGUCGGGUACUGACUCUUGGAUUCAUGUUCCUCCUUCUGAGACAAUCUGUGCUUGAAUCCGCAGGAAAAGGUAGAAUUAAAAAAUCAAAUAAAUCGCUUCAUACAUUUCAGCAAGUGUGGCUUCAUGAGCCAUUUUAAGGGAGGGAGGAACCCUGCCAGUCAGAAUAUAAUUAAUUAUUGUGUCCAUGCUACCAUGAUAGCUGAUGGGUUGAGUAGAAAUGUAGCUGCCAUUUUCUUUGAUGGUAGCUGCUCCCUACUUUUUGUACUUUACCCAUUGCUUUUUAAUUUGCUCUUUAGGUACGUACUUGAGAGUGAUACGGUAGUAGUGAUAGUGCUAAGGCACUAAAUGUGCUCAAAGCUGCAGUCCUAUGAACACUUAUCUAGGAGUAGGCCCUAUUGAAUUCAGUGGGGUAUGCAUCACAGAAAAUGUGUAUGUAAUUGGACUGCACUGUGUAUAAAUGACAAGCAAGCCUGAAACAGCCCCCCUUUUUUUGCACGGAGAGGCAUAUAUUACAAGUGGGACCUGCAAGAAAAUAUUGCAAUGCAGAGUGCUGCUGUUCAGGAUGCUAGCCAGUUGUGCUCUUUUCCUGAAUACUCCAUUCUUCCCCCCCACCCCCCAGCCAGUGUUCCAUUGCCACUAAACAGGCUUAGUUUUUACUGUUUUGGGGAUAUUCUCUCCCAUUCAUUAGGGGAGUAGCCCUCUAGGUGUUGGACUCCCAUCAGCAAGGCUGGUACUUGCAUGAAGCAGAGUGAAGCAAUGUGCGUCAGACUGCAGAUCCACUCUCUGCCCCACACCCACAGAUACACUGUUUCCAGCUCCACCAUGGCGUUGCCCAUGCCAUCACAUGCAAGCACUGCUAACGCUGUGUCCUUACUACUGUCACUGUGUCAUGGUGGCAGCAUGAGGUGCAGUCACUGGCAAGGGUGGAGUUAAGGAGGCAGGGCUGGCAACAGUGAGGGGACAGUGAUGAGGGCAGGGUGGUGGCAGAGCAGCAGUUAUGUGUGUGGGAGGGAUUUGGAGCAGCAAAGUAUCCCAGGCUUUCCCUACCCAUCAGCCUCACCCAUGAUCAAUGGUUAGCAUCCUCUGGAAGGCCACUGGUUUCCCAACCCUGCAUCAGUCUUCCUUCCCCACCCCUUUAAAGAUUUUUUUUGGACUUUUACCAACCUUGGGGUUUGGAUGGUUCUGCUUUAGCUAUGUAAGGUUCCAUGCUUGGUGAAUGAUUUCACUAUUAGUAUAGAGGAUAAUCUUGCUUUAGCCUCUGUCUGCAAUUUGUGUUUUCUACCAGGAAGUUGGAUCUGCAGAGUUUCAACAUAGUUGCUGAAUCACGUGCCUUCAAGCUGCUUUACCAGUAUCCCCCCCCACAUCUGUUCAAGUGAUACUGAAUUAGUUUAUUAAUUUAUUGAAUGUGGUCAUUUGGGAAAGGCUAUAGAUCAGGGUCCCCAAACUAAGGCCCGGGGGCCGGAUGCGGCCCAAUCGCCUUCUAAAUCUGGCCCGCAGAUGGUCCAGGAAUCAGCAUGUUUUUACAUGAGUAGAAUGUGUCCUUUUAUUUAAAAUGCAUCUCUGGGUUAUUUGUGGGGCCUGCCUGGUGUUUUCACAUGAGUAGAAUGUGUCUUUUUAUUUAAAAUGCAUCUCUGGGUUAUUUGUGGGGCAUAGGAAUUCGUUCAUAUUUUUUUUCAAAAUAUAGUCCGGUCCCCCACAAGGUCUGAGGGACAGUGGACCAGCCCACUGCUGAAAAAGUUUGCUGACUCCUGCUAUAGAUCAUGUACUUUGCAUGCAAAAGACCCAUGGUUCGAUCCUGGUACCUGGGAAGGAGUCCUGUCUGGAGAGCCAUCACCAAUCACUAUGUCACUGACCUAGAUGAACCAUUCUUCUGUCUUGGUAGAAAGACAACCUCCUAUGUGUCAGUAAUUCGGCCGUCCCGGGGGCCAGCUGUUAGACUGGUCCCACAGGCCAAAAAUGCGAUUGCUCUCACAAACGUGAUGAACAACACACAAGUCAGUAAAUAAGGCUUAACUGCUUUAUUUACAUAUAAACAAUUUGGGAGCUCUACAUCAUGGCUCCCUCUCUCUGGCAUCACAGCCAGUAAAGAGAAAGAAGAAAGAGACAACAGUCCCACGUAGUACAGCAAGAUAAACAUCGUGUCUACGUCACUUCCACUCUGUGGAAAUGAAAACACAUACAGUCAUAUGAUACACAAUAACCCUAUGACUGCAGAUGGUUGAAUGAAUCUCCUAACACUAUGAUGGGGCUGGAGCAUAUUUUUCUUCUUAAUCUGCUCUUCCAUACCCCUUUAUGGGAAAUAUCAAAAGGAAGAAUAUGAAAUUUAAAAUAGAUUGGUGUUAUUGAUUUUUGUCCUAAGGGGCUAAGGGUUGAUGAAAACAGCAUAUGUCCAUGUGCUUUUCUACUGAUGGUCCAUUUUUUCUUCCAAGGAAAAAAAAGACUAAAAAAAACAGCAAAAAAAGCAUAUGCUUCCAAUUUACAUAUUUACUAAUUAAAAAAAGCUUCCUGGAAACAUUAAGCAGACUAUCUUGAGUAACCUUUAACAUUGUAGCUAAUGGAUAUCGCCUGGAAAUUUUCAUAGAAGGUCUUCUAAAUAAUGUAAAUGAUUAUGAAUAUGUAACUAGUUAAUAUGCAGCUACGAAAGGAUUAUCAUGUAGAGGUUAAUGAACACGCUGCACUUCACGGUUUGUGGGGCUUUUGCUUUUGUGCCUUUAGCUCACUUCAUGCUUGGAAAGUCAUGCAUUGGGAAUGGAAAGCUUCCUGUUUCCCUUUCUGGAAAUGGGGCACUUGAGCUGGAACUUUCUUAAAAGGUUUCAUAAACAUUUUUAGUGUUGUUCAAUGCCAAUUUCCCAAACCUUUUCAUUAUACAGCCCAUAACAGUAGUAGUACCGGUAGUAAUGGCAGUACUUAUGUAGCAUAUUAUUCACAUACGUUAGUCUAGUAAUCCUUAUUACAGUCCUGUAAGGUAGGCCAGUGUUAGUACCCCCACAAUGCCGAGAAAUCGGCCAGUUCAUUCAUACUGUGAAUAUACUUUGAGUUUCAUAAAUUCAUAGAAUGGUAGAGUUUGAAGGAACCCUGAGGGUUAUCUAGUCCAACCCCCUGCAAUGCAGGAAUCAUACCUGACAGAUGGCCAUCCAACGUCUGUUUAAAAUCCUCCUAGGAAGGAGAGUCCACCACCUCUUCUGAGAGUCUCUUCCAUUGUCAAAGAAGCUCAUACUGUCAGAAAGUUCUUCCUGAUACUUAGUUGGAAUCACCACUGUAGCAAGAAAAGCCACUCUAGCAUUAAAGCAUUAGUGUGUGCUCCCAUGUGGCCGAGCUGAGUCAAUGCAGUGGGAGGAAGAGGAGGAGCAGGCGGGGUAGGGAGGAAGGGCCACAGCUCACUAGCAGAGUUUCCAUCCCGCAUGCAGAAUGUCCCAGGCUCAAUCCCUAAUGGCAUCUCCAGGUGAGGCUUGGGAGAGAUGCCUGCCUGAAUCCCUGCAGAGCCACUGCCAGUCAGUGGCAUCAGUAUUUCUCAAACCUGAGUUUGUAUGCUACCUACUUUCUGAUUUCUUCAUGCACGUUGAUUCUGUCCCUUACUUCCUGAUUCUGAAUUUAGUUUGCUGUAAGUGUUGUUCACCCUAGUCCCGUCCCCCCCAAUCAAAAUCUGAAACCACAAUUUGUGCACUAGCUAUGGCAAACUAUGGUUUGUGGUAACCAUUUACGUAGUUUGCGUAGUUUGGAUGUUGUGGUUGACUAUAUGGAAGAAGUUAUGGUGAAUCACUAAGAGAGACAGAGGAGGAAAUGCAUACGGUAAACCUAUAAUCCAUUUACAGGGUGUCUGAAAUGGAGUCAGUGGCUUGCAACUGAGGCAAAAUUUGAACCAGCAACCUCCUAGAUCUAGAUUGUGGUUUAUUAUCUUGGCAACAAUGCUAGACCAACCAAUGAGCUACAACAGCUCUUAUCUGAGGACAUUAAAUUCUUAUUUUGAUUUAUUCUGCUGGAAGUAAUGAAUAGUUGCCUCAUUCUUUUCCAAAAAAACUAUUAAGGAACUCUGAUUUUAGAAGGGGGAAAUUAAAUACAGUAGAACACAUCUAUGUCAGCUACAUUUGUUUUAAGAUAUGCAAUUUUUAUAGUGUAUGGCAUAGAAUAGGAUGAUUCUUUCUGUCUCUUCAUGUGCAAAAAUGACAAGUUUACAACAAAUGGAUGGGAUUUUAUGAAAGUAAUAUUGCUUUACAUUUUUAAGUGGAUUGUGCAAGCUUCACUCAGGCUGAGUCUACAAUCUACCUUGGAGUAUCUGAAUAUAAGCCAAAUCUUCAUAGUUUUGCCAAGCCCCAUCAGUCCCCUCUUUACAAAGAAACCAUCUGCACCUGUGCUUUCAUGGAACAUUGAAGAUAAAACAUAAUUAUUCUGGCAAAUGUUCCCAGUAGUUGCUUUCACAUGUUAGCUUGUUUGUGGGUACAUGAGAAACAAAUAUUUGUAAAAAUGAUUUGUGAAACCCUAUAUCCAGAUUGGAAAUAAGUAUGAGUUACUUUAUUAAGUUCCUUCUACAUGCAGAGUUUUCACAAUCCUCAGAGUAAAAUUGGUAUACAUUUACUUCUGAUCAUACAGUCUGUGGUCCAUAGAGCUAUUUGCAUACUGUAUAUGCAAACCCUUCUGCUCCCUAGCUGGGGCACUCUAUAUUUCCUCUACUGAACAUACCUUCUUUUUACUGGUUUGGAUUCUGGAGCAUUUCUUACCUUAUGAAGAAGCAUUUUGGGAGUGGAGGUACAAGAACUACGGUGGAAAGAAGGAGAUUCAGAGUGCUGAAGAGUCCCUAUCCAUGUUCAGAAGUGUCACCUGCAGUUCCUAACAAUUAGACAAUAGUUGAGGGAGCUAUUCUGAACCUGUAACUUCCCUCUGGGUGAGAAUACAGUGGAACCUCUGUUUUCGAACGUAAUAUGUUCCGGAAUACCGCUCGACUUCCGAAACGUUCAAAAACUGAAAGCAGAAUCCUCAAUUCAAUAGGGAAACUCAAAACGGAAACCGCAUUGGAUGCUCGGGUUCUGAAAAACGUUAGAAAACCAGAACAUUUACUUUUGGGUUUUUGGCAUUCGGGAACUGAAACGUUCGAAAACAGAGCUUUGACUGUAGCAGUUUGGGAGAUGGGGAAAAUUAUUUUUGUGGGGGCUGCAGUGCUGGGGGAAAGAGUAAAGCCCCUUGCUUACAUGUUGUGGUCCCAUUCCUGAUUGCGUCUUUAGAUGCAUGCACACAUUUUAAGGGGCCAAAGACCUUUCAGCGCAACUGAUUACCUAUUGUUUCCCAUGUGUUGCAUAUACAGUAGUCUUACCAACUUCCUUCAAAGUUGUAUUUAUGUUGUGUAGAUAGCUCAUUUCCCAUGAGCUCAUGGUAUAAUAUUUUGUACUUGAGAAAGUGCUGCUGUCACCAUUAUGCGAGACAGGCAUUUAUUAGAUUGGGGUAGUCAAUGUGGUAUCCUCCAAAUGUUAUGGGCUACAACUCCCAUCAUCCCUGACCAUUGGCCUUGCUGGCUGGACAUUGUUGUCCAAAACAUCUGGAGGUUACUACAUUGGCAACCCCUGUACAUGUAUUAGAUAAUGAGUCACUGACCAACAAGCAUCAUAACUCCGUCUCCUGUGUUCACAUUGUUUUGUAAACUAUUCAGAGGCAGUGCAGCUUUACACUGUUAACCAUUUAAGUAUGGCUUCGUGUGUGCAUUUAGCUUGAUGAAUACCAGAAACGCCCUUCUCUCCUUCCACAAAUGUGUCCCACUAUCUUGAGAACAACUGGAACAGCCCUUAUAUAUACAUUAUACCUCCAAGAUACAAUAAAGGGAAUGGUAAAACCCUCUCCUCCCAUACCUUCUAUAUGUGAAUAGAUUCCUUUGUCACUAUGAGGGAGUUUUGAACUCGGGUAUUGUCAUUACUAUUAUUAUUUAUUAUUAGUGUUCAAAGCCCAGAAUGUGUUUAUCAGAUUUGAAUGCUUUAAAAUGUUGGUAGUGUAAAUAGUGGGAUCUAAAACUUUCAUGUGUUUUGUGAUAUUUUUUUAUUGUUUAAAUAGUGACAAGAACCUGGUCUUCUAAUGUAUUUUGGAUUAAAUAAUAUUCCUCUUUCCAGAAGUCUGUAAAUUGAUGGAUGUUAUAAUAUUCACUUUUGUGUAUGUGUAUAUAUUAUGUUUCUGAAAUUGUAAUCAAAGUUCAAAUUGUUUUUUUUAUAUGAUUAAUCAGAUGUUUAUUGCACCAGGGUGAAACUGAAGGUCAGAUUACAGUUUAGAGUUGUAUUAAUGAAGAAAAAUGUUUUUAUGGGUGAUUCUGUUUUAAACAAACAGCAAACAUGCACUCCUCUUAUAAAUUAUAUUUGCUUUAUUCUGCAAAGCAUGUAACAUUGAAAACAGAUGUGUAGAUAGUACAAAAUAUUAGUUUUAUCUUGUAUCAUGUGUCAUCUCGUUGUUAUGGAGCAUGCAUUGUAUCAAAAUAUGAGUUGGGGAAGGUGUAAUUUAUUCUAUGGUUAUCAGUUUGGAUUAGAGCAUUGUGAUAAAGUGGGCUGCUUAAGAACGAAUGUUCCCGCGCCUUUGCGCUGACAAAUAAAAAUGUAUAGUGAGACGCCACCAGAUCUGUAAAGCGUCUGCUCUAGUUUCUGAAACAUUGAGUUUGCAGCUGUGUGCUUGGCCUUGUUUUUUCAUGAGCAGUUAUCUGUUUUAAUGACAGGUGGUCACUAGCUGCCAAGAAAAAAUUCAGCACUGGAAGAAGGUGGAGAGUGACUAUGAAGCUCUUCAGGAACGACUUGGCACAUUGCCUGACAAACUCUCUUAUGAUAUCAUG